ACGCUCGACACCUACGGGAUGCAGCAGUCGGGAAUAUUGCGCAAUGGAGGAAACUCUGACGCAGUGACGCCGCGUAUGGGAAGAAGGUUUUCGGAUUGUAAACCAUUUUAGACAAGGAAGAAACAAGACAGUACUUGUAGAAUAAGCUCCGGCUAACUACGUGCCAGCAGCCGCGGUAAUCUGAGGCGGGCUGGACAAGGC
rnacentral:rRNA from 1 species